AGUGAACGCUGGCGGUAGGCCUAACACAUGCAAGUCGAACGGCAGCACAGUAAGAGCUUGCUCUUACGGGUGGCGAGUGCCGGACGGGUGAGGAAUACAUCGGAAUCUACUUUUUCGUGGGGGAUAACGUAGGGAAACUUACGCUAAUACCGCAUACGACCUACGGGUGAAAGCAGGGGAUCUUCGGACCUUGCGCGAUUGAAUGAGCCGAUGUCGGAUUAGCUAGUUGGCGGGGUAAAGGCCCACCAAGGCGACGAUCCGUAGCUGGUCUGAGAGGGUGAUCAGCCACACUGGAACUGAGACACGGUCCAGACUCCUACGGGAGGCAGCAGUGGGGAAUAUUGGACAAUGGGCGCAAGCCUGAUCCAGCCAUACCGCGUGGGUGAAGAAGGCCUUCGGGUUGUAAAGCCCUUUUGUUGGGAAAGAAAAGCAGCAGGUUAAUACCCCGCUGUUCUGACGGUACCCAAAGAAUAAGCACCGGCUAACUUCGUG
rnacentral:rRNA from 1 species